ACUAACAACCCCAGGAGUGACUGGGAGAGCCAGGAGAAAGAAAGCAGGUUGAGUUCGGGUCGAGCUGUGCGCCUUUUUUCCUCUCGCUCUCUCGGUUAUCAUAACCUUGUAUUCCCUCUGGAAGGAAAUGGAAAUUCCUUUGGAUCAUCUUCUAGGUAAACAGUUUAAUUAGCUGCGUGAGGUGACAAACUUGCUCGGAUGAAGUCAUGGGAGCUGAACGAAUUGGCCUGAAUCCCAAGAGGGGAGUGUUCAGGGCGCGCGUGUCCCUCGGAGAGGCUGAGGUAACGCUGGCUCCUUCCCGGGAGUCCCUGAACGCCCGGCUUUGGAAUCUGCAGACAGCUCUUCUAGCAGGGCGUUGGCACCUACUGACUAACCGUGCAAUCACUCAGCAGCUGUGAUGGUUGGUGACAUGUCUUUCACAGCCCAAGAUAGCCUCCCUAGACUGAGCAAAAAAAAGAAAACAGAAAAAAACUGGAGCUAAAAGUUGAUCAGUGAGUGAUUCCUAGCAACCCAAAAUGUUGGUUUAUUUAUUUUACUUAUAAGUUUAGUUAACCAAUAAAAAUUAUUCUCUGUGUGAUGGAGAAGUUUUAAGGAGCAUCUACUAGAGAUGUUGCGUCCCACUUGGAACAAACUUAGUAAGCACAUCUUGUACGUAAAUGGAAAUUAUCCCGCAAAUUACGGCAUCUCCAAAUGUAGCGUGGAAACUAAUAUUGACAUGUCAACACAGGAUUAAUACAUAGUAAUCAAAGAGUGCUUAAAAAUUCAUUAAAAAUGAAGUCCCACCUCUAAAAGUGAAAUGUGCAAAUUAAAGUAGCAGUUAGAUAAUGUUUUGUCAUUUAGGUAAAAAUUACAAAGAAUCGGCCGGGCGCGGUGGCUCACGCCUGUAAUCCCAGCACUCUGGGAGGCCGAGGCCGGCAGAUCACCUGAGGUCAGGAGUUCAAGACCAGCCUGGCCAUGGUGAAACCCCGUCUCUACUAAAAGUACAAAAAAUUAGCCGGGCGUGGUGGUGCGCGCUUGUAAUCCCAGCUAUUCGGGAGGCUGAGGCUGGGAAUCGUUUGAACCCGGGAGCGAAACUCCGUCUCAAAAAAAGAAAAAAAUUGCAAAGAAUCAGGGAUGUGAGGAGUCAGACACUCACAUACUGUUGGAUGAAGUGUAAAUACUGUAUAAUCUUCCUAAGGGAAAUAUUUGGAAGCAUGUAAAAAAAUUUUUAAAACCUUAGGACCCAGCAAUUCCAUUUCGGCAAAUUAAUCCUAAAGACAUUCUUUUAAAACAUGAACAAAGGUAUACAUGGCAACAUUGUCUAAAGGAUCAAAGCAUUGCCAGCCAUUAAAUGUCCCACAUUGAGUGAUUGGACAAAUUGCUUCACCUCUUGGUGUCUCAGUUUCCUCAUGUGUAAGAAACAGGAAUAAUAGGGUUGUGAGGAUCAAAUGAAUUAGUACAAGCAAAACGCUUAUUACAGUGCCUGGCAUAGAGUAAGCACUAAAUAAGUGUAACUGAUCACUGUAAUUUACACUGGUCAGUUAAAUCAUAGUACAUAAGAUGUGAAAACUACACAGCCAUUUAAGGUGCAUAAUACAGAUUCAUAUUUACAUAGACAUCUGAAUACACAAGUUUUCAGAAGGAAGUUACAAACCUUAUAAAAUUACAAAUGCCCACAAUUUUAAAAAUCUGAAAGGAAAUACAUGAGAAUAUUAUGACAUGAUUGUCUCUGAGUGGCAAGAUUCUAGACAAUGUUUUUGUUCUUUGUGCAUUUUAUUAUUCAAAAUAUUUUAAUGAUGAGCGUGUAUUCCUUUCAAAAGCAGAAAAAAUGUUAAAAUACAACAAUGUCAAAAAUGGUAUGUUGGUACCACCAGUUUCUUAAUGUUUUGAAGGGCCAAUACCAAAAGCGUGCUUGUGUUUCAUUAUGACAAGUAUAGAAUUAUUCGGAAAUAUCACGACUGAUACGGAAGUCAGAACAUUCCCUCUCAAAAAUGUGCUUUGAUUGCUGGGCUGACAGAAUUAGGUGACAACUUGUUUACCUUAAGAUCCUGAGCAGUGUCUUGGGCCAUUAUCAUAAGUGCCUGAGCCAGAUAUUGGUGGCUCAGACUGGGUGUAUCAGAGCCAGAUAUUGAUGAAAAUGCAUUUGUACAUGUUCUGUACUCCGGACUGAAUUACUCUGUUGCCAGCAAUAAGCCAGGGCACAAACUGUUCAAGCCUUGAUUAUCAAUAUGUGUGCACUGGGAGUAAUACAUACUAGUAUUGAGAGCAGUAUCCGUGCAUUCUGACCUAGAAUGACUUUAGCUGUGGGGGCAGGGGGGUCUCGAUGAUUAAUGUGCUGUAUAAAUAAUAAACAUUUUUUAAAUAUAAAAUUUUUAAUAUUUAACUUAAAAGACAAACAUAAAAAGUGAAAUGCUUUGUAUUUUGUGGUUAACGUCCCUUAUUAUCCCUUUAAAAUACUGAAAUUCUAUGAGUUUCACUUUUAGUAUUACCACAGUUUUUAAAACGUUUUGAAGACUACAUAUCAAUGGCAUAUUAAAAUGUUUCUGUAAUGUUGUAUGUUUAAUAAAUUCUGUGGUUGUUUGUUAAAUGUUAUAUCCCUUUAUUCUCAGUUUGAUUUUGAAAAUUCAUCUACAUUAAAAACAAAAAUACUGGCCAA
rnacentral:lncRNA from 10 species